AGCAGCCGCGGUAAUUCCAGCUCCAAUAGCGUAUAUUAAAGUUGUUGCAGUUAAAAAGCUCGUAGUUGAAUUUCGGGAUCAAUAUAUCGGUCGUGCCAUCGGUACGUACUGGUAUGAUUGGUUUCUCCUUUCUGACGAACCAUGAUGUCAUUAAUUUGGUGUUAUGGGAAGUUAGGACUGUUACUUUGAAAAAUUAGAGUGUUUAAAGCAGGCUUUGGCUUGAAUACAUUAGCAUGGAAUAAUGAAAUAGGACGUUCGAACCUAUUUUGUUGGUUUCUAGGAUCAACGUAAUGAUUAAUAGGGAUAGUUGGGGGCAUUAGUAUUCAAUUGUCAGAGGUGAAAUUCUUGGAUUUAUUGAAGACUAACUACUGCGAAAGCAUUUGCCAAGGAUGUUUUCAU
rnacentral:rRNA from 1 species